CAGCCGCCGCGGGAACACGAAGGGGGCUAGCGUUGUUCGGAAUCACUGGGCGUAAAGGGUGCGCAGGCUGGUUCUUAAGUCAGGGGUGAAAUCCCGAGGCUCAACCUCGGAACGGCCUUUGAUACUGGGGAUCUUGAGUCCGGAAGAGGUGAGUGGAACUGCGAGUGUAGAGGUGAAAUUCGUAGAUAUUCGCAAGAACACCGGUGGCGAAGGCGGCUCACUGGUCCGGAACUGACGCUGAGGCACGACAGCGUGGGGAGCAAACAGGAUUAGAUACCCCCGUAGUCCCUGUCUCUUAUAC
rnacentral:rRNA from 1 species